UACGGAGGGGGCGAGUGUUGUUCGGAAUUACUGGGCGUAAAGGGCGCGCAGGCGGCUUGGCAAGUCGGGUGUGAAAUACCUCAGCUUAACUGAGGAACGGCGCUCGAAACUACCUCGCUUGAGGGCGGGAGAGGGAAGUGGAACUCUCGGUGUAGGGGUGAAAUCUGUAGAUAUCGAGAGGAACACCGGUGGCGAAGGCGGCUUCCUGGCCCGUACCUGACGCUGAGGCGCGAAAGCGUGGGGAGCAAACAGG
rnacentral:rRNA from 1 species